CGCUAAUUGAAGGCCGAGUUUCCUCCCACAGUGAUGAGCAACAAGUGAAGCAAAAAUAGGUCGUGAAGAGCUAAGUGGACGCCCUUUACCCUUCAGACAUCUUGGCGCAAAACUGUCAGUGAACGGUCCUUAACCAUCUCUGUGCUGGGCCCCUUUGAUCGGUCCUGGUAAAUGAACGGCGAUGUGUACAUCCCUGGGACCCCGCAAAUGAAACGCCAACUAGCAGCGAGGGUCCGGCAGGUGAAGGAAGGUGCCGACCCUCAUUUGCCCCCAGUUUCCCUGGAUCUUCUGUUCUGUUCUCUUCAACCGAAAGGAGAACCUUCAAGGCGGUCACGUUGAUGGGGGCGACCAUGAUACCAGUUCGGACAGUCUGAGAGUCAAUGUUUCCGGUACAGCUGAGCCAAACAAGGGAGAAGCUUAGAGUCCCAUUCCACCACCUGGAAGCGAGCUACCUAGAGACGUUCCAGGCUUCCUUUCAGUUAUGAUACCCUUCCAACAAAUUCUUUUCCCGCGGAAGCUGCUCACCUCCGUCACUUUCAACCACAUCCCUGAUGGAUCUAUCACCAGUAACGAUUUCAACAGCCAGAUGA